UGGGGAAUUUUCCGCAAUGGGCGAAAGCCUGACGGAGCAAUACCGCGUGAGGGAGGAAGGCUCUUGGGUUGUAAACCUCUUUUCUCUGGGAAGAAAAAAAUGACGGUACCAGAGGAAUAAGCAUCGGCUAACUCCGUGCCAGCAACCGCGGUAAUACGGAGGAUGCAAGCGUUAUCUGGAAUCAUUGGGCGUAAAGCGUCCGUAGGUGGUUUUUCAAGUCUGCUGUCAAAGCCUGGGGCUUAACCCCAGAUAGGCAGUGGAAACUGGGAGACUAGAGUUCGGUAGGGGUAGCGGGAAUUCCCAGUGUAGCGGUGAAAUGCGUAGAUAUUGGGAAGAACAUCGGUGGCGAAGGCGCGCUACUGGGCCGAAACUGACACUCACAGGACGAAAGCUAGGGGAGCGAAAGGGAUUAGAUACCCCUGUAGUCCUAGCUGUAAACGAUGGAAACUAGGUGUGGCUUGUAUCGACCCGAGCCGUGCCGAAGCUAACGCGUUAAGUUUCCCGCCUGGGGAGUACGCACGCAAGUGUGAAACUCAAAGGAAUUGACGGGGGCCCGCACAAGCGGUGGAGUAUGUGGUUUAAUUCGAUGCAACGCGAAGAACCUUACCAGGGCUUGACAUGUCGCGAAUCUUCCAGAAAUGGGAGAGUGCCUUCGGGAGCGCGAACACAGGUGGUGCAUGGCUGUCGUCAGCUCGUGUCGUGAGAUGUUGGGUUAAGUCCCGCAACGAGCGCAACCCUCGUUUUUAGUUGCCAUCAUUAAGUUGGGCACUCUAGAGAGACUGCCGGUGACAAACCGGAGGAAGGUGAGGAUGACGUCAAGUCAGCAUGCCCCUUACGCCCUGGGCUACACACGUACUACAAUGGUUGGGACAACGGGUAGCGACCCCGCGAGGGCAAGCGAAUCUCAUCAAACCCAGCCUCAGUUCGGAUUGCAGGCUGCAACUCGCCUGCAUGAAGGAGGAAUCGCUAGUAAUCGCAG
rnacentral:rRNA from 1 species